UCCGCGGUAGCUCAGCGGUAGAGCAGCCGGCUGUUAACCGGCUGGUCGCAGGUUCGAAUCCUGCCCGCGGAGCCA
rnacentral:tRNA from 1 species